rnacentral:misc_RNA from 1 species
GAUGAAGAACGUAGCGAAAUGCGAAAAGUAAUGUGAAUUGCAGAAUUCAGUGAAUCAUCGAAUCUUUGAACGCACAUUGCGCCCGCCAGUAUUCUGGCGGGCAUGCCUGUUCGAGCGUCAUUUCAACCCUCAGGCCCCCAGUGCCUGGUGUUGGGGAUCGGCCCAGCCUUCCUGUAAGGCCGCCGGCCCCGAAAUCUAGUGGCGGUCUCGCUGUAGUCCUCCUCUGCGUAGUAGCACAACCUCGCAGUUGGAACGCGGCGGUGGCCAUGCCGUUAAACACCCCACUUCUGAAAGUUGACCUCGGAUCAGGUAGGAAUACCCGCUGAACUUAAGCAUAUCAAUAAGCGGAGGA